AAUCUCCUAAGUCCUACUCGACAUAUUAUAAGGAAGAAAAUUAUCCAAACCCCACUGAAAUUGCAACAAUAAUUUAAUCUGGAUUUUAUUGUCAAAUUAAAGACAUUUUUAUAAGGAAGAAAUAUAUAUCAGUGAACCUUAGCAAAGUUUCUUGUAGGCAUUGAAGAGGAACACAAGAUCUAUGGAGCUAGAAAGUUUUUCUCAUAAACCAAGAGAGUUGGAAAGAUUGCAAAUGGAGCAUGAUGAAAAAACAAAAAGGAUUGAAGAGUUGAAGAGCCAAAUUCAAAACAUCAAAAGGGAGUUAGAGAAGAACAACAAGGGAGAAAAUAAUCAUAAAAAGGAAAUUUUCAUGGGUCUUACUCAGACUUACAACCAGCUAAAGCAAGAACUGGAUAACAUGUGAUUUAUUUAAAUAUACUACUACAGUGUGGACUACAACUUAGGUUAAGGUUUUAAUUUGGUAUUUAUAAUUAGGAGGUAUAAAUUAACUACCAAUUAAACAUCUUUAUUGUUAUUGGUAUUUUAUUAAUGAUGUUAGAACGAAAUAUCCAUCAUUAUUAUGAAUUUCCUUGGUGAUUUUAAUUUGGGUGUGGAAAAAUUUACAAUUUAUAACAUCAUCUUUACUCUAAUACUUACAUAGAAACCAAACACUUAUAAUAAUCUUCUAAGUAUGAGAG